CGUCGUUAGUUUCGCUGUUGCAUAAUAAUAUUAUUGGAUAUCUUUGAUUCUUGCAAGAUAAUGAAAGCAUAUUUAAUUCAGAUUAUCAGACUCAAUCGGAUACCAGUACAAAUAAUAUGGAAAAUGAAGAUACAAUACAUGGAAGACGAAUUAUAGAUUUUAGUUUUUUUAUAAAUCAAUUACUUAUACCUAAUUGAUAAACAUGGUGAAAAGUUUGGUUGUCGAUUAAAUAAUUCAAAAAUUGUAAACGA
rnacentral:lncRNA from 1 species